UACAUCGGAAUCUACUCUGUCGUGGGGGAGUAACGUAGGGAAACUUAACGCUAAUACCGCAUACGACCUACGGUGAAGCAGGGGAUCUUCGGAUCUUGCGCGAUUGAAUGAGCCGAUGUCGGAUUAGCUAGUUGGCGGGGUAAAGGCCCACCAAGGCGACGAUCCGUAGCUGGUCUGAGAGGAUGAUCAGCCACACUGGAACUGAGACACGGUCCAGACUCCUACGGGAGGCAGCAGUU
rnacentral:rRNA from 1 species